GAGUGAACGCUGGCGGUAGGCCUAACCCAUGCAAGUCGAACGGCAGCCCAGUAAGAGCUUGCUCUUACGGGUGGCGAGUGGCGGACGGGUGAGGAAUACAUCGGAAUCUACUUUUUCGUGGGGGAUAACGUAGGGAAACUUACGCUAAUACCGCAUACGACCUACGGGUGAAAGCAGGGGAUCUUCGGGCCUUGCGCGAUUGAAUGAGCCGAUGUCGGAUUAGCUAGUUGGCGGGGUAAAGGCCCACCAAGGCGACGAUCCGUAGCUGGUCUGAGAGGAUGAUCAGCCACACUGGAACUGAGACACGGUCCAGACUCCUACGGGAGGCAGCAGUGGGGAAUAUUGGACAAUGGGCGCAAGCCUGAUCCAGCCAUACCGCGUGGGUGAAGAAGGCCUUCGGGUUGUAAAGCCCUUUUGUUGGGAAAGAAAAGCAGCAGGUUAAUACCCCGCUGUUCUGACGGUACCCAAAGAAUAAGCACCGGCUAACUUCGUG
rnacentral:rRNA from 1 species